AGUGAACGCUGGCGGUAUGCCUAACACAUGCAAGUCGAACGGCAGCACAGUAAGAGCUUGCUCUUACGGGUGGCGAGUGGCGGACGGGUGACGAAUACAUCGGAUUCUACUUUUUCGUGGGGGAUAACGUAGGGAAACUUACGCUAAUACCGCAUACGACCUACGGGUGAAAGCAGGGGAUCUUCGGACCUUGCGCGAGUGAAUGAGCCGAUGUCGGAUUAGAUAGUUGGCGGGGUAAAGGCCCACCAAGGCGACGAUCCGUAGCUGGUCUGAGCGGAUGAACCGCCACCCUGGAACUGAGGAACGGUCCCGACUCCUACGGGAGGCCGCAGUGGGGAAUAUUGGACAAUGGGGCAAAGCCUGAUCCAGCCAUACCGCGUGGGUCAAGAAGGCCCUCGGGUUGGAAAGCCCUUUUGUUGGGAAAGAAAAACAGCUGGUUAAUACCCCGUUGUUCUGACGGUACCCAAAGAAUAAGCACCGGCUAACUUCGUG
rnacentral:rRNA from 1 species